rnacentral:misc_RNA from 1 species
GUGAAUCAUCGAAUCUUUGAACGCAAAUUGCACUCUCUGGUCUUCCGAAGAGGAUUCCUGGUUUGAGGGCAGUUGAAAUAAAAAUCGGUGUGGUUGCUGCCUUUCGUGGUGACACACCGGAUUUGGGUGGUCUGGCCUUCGGUUAACUGACCUAAAAUGUUUCAUGAUUUUUUCGGACGUAUUUAAAUGAUUUUACGUACGUUUGCAAUAUCGAAUACUAGGUGUGGGUGUCC